rnacentral:rRNA from 1 species
UACGUAGGGUGCAAGCGUUGUUCGGAAUUACUGGGCGUAAAGGGCUCGUAGGCGGCCAACUAAGUCAGACGUGAAAUCCCUCGGCUUAACCGGGGAACUGCGUCUGAUACUGGAUGGCUUGAGUUUGGGAGAGGGAUGCGGAAUUCCAGGUGUAGCGGUGAAAUGCGUAGAUAUCUGGAGGAACACCUGUGGCGAAGGCGGCUAUCUGGUCCAAUUCUGACGCUGAGGCGCGAAAGGUAGGGGAGCAAACAGG